GAUGAACGCUGGCGGCGUGCCUAAUACAUGCAAGUCGAGCGGACGGACGCGACGCUUGCUUUUCUGAUGUUAGCGGCGCACGUGUGAGUAACACGUGUAUCCCCUACCUAUAAUACUGGGAUAACUUCGGGACACCGGCGCUAAUCCCGGAUAAUAUCUUGAUCCGCAUGGUUCAAUGGUGAAUGACGGUCUUGCUGUCACUUAUCGAUGGAUCCCCGCUGCAUUAGCUAGUUGGUAAGGUACCGGCUUACUAAGGCAACGAUGCAUAGCCGACCGGAGAGAGGGGUCGGCCACAUGGGAACGGAGCCACGGUCCAGACUCCUACGGGAGGCAGCAGUAGGGAAUCGGCCGCAAUGGGCGAGAGCCUGGCGGAGCAAGGCCGCGUGAGUGAUGAAGGUCUUCGGAUCGUAAAACUGUGUUAUUAGGGAAGAACAGAUGUGGAAGUAACUGUGCACAGAGUGACGGUACCUAAUCAGAAAGCCACGGCUAACUACGUG
rnacentral:rRNA from 1 species